rnacentral:rRNA from 1 species
GAUGAACGCUAGCGGCAGGCUUAACACAUGCAAGUCGAGGGGUAUUGGUUUUCGGACCAAGAGACCGGCGCACGGGUGCGUAACGCGUAUGCAAUCUACCUUUUGCAGAGGGAUAGCCCAGAGAAAUUUGGAUUAAUACCUCAUAGUAUGUGAGAAUCGCAUGGUUUUCACAUUAAAGUUCCAACGGUAAAAGAUGAGCAUGCGUCCCAUUAGCUAGAUGGUAAGGUAACGGCUUACCAUGGCGACGAUGGGUAGGGGUCCUGAGAGGGAGAUCCCCCACACUGGUACUGAGACACGGACCAGACUCCUACGGGAGGCAGCAGUGAGGAAUAUUGGACAAUGGGCGCAAG